rnacentral:rRNA from 1 species
GAUGAACGCUAGCGGCAGGCUUAAUACAUGCAAGUCGAGGGGCAGCAUGUCCCGACGCAAGUCGGGAUGAUGGCGACCGGCAAACGGGUGCGGAACACGUACAGAACCUUCCUUUAAGUGGGGAAUAGCCCAGAGAAAUUUGGAUUAAUACCCCGUAACAUUAUGAAAUGGCAUCAUUUUAUAAUUAUAGAUUUAUCGCCUAGAGAUGGCUGUGCGGCUGAUUAGGAGUUGGCGGGGGUAACGGCCCACCAAUCCUGCGAUCAGUAACUGGUGUGAGAGCACGACCAGUCACACGGGCACUGAGACACGGGCCCGACUCCUACGGGAGGCAGCAGUAAGGAAUAUUGGUCAAUGGACGAAAGUCU